CACUGCUCUCAGGGGCAGUGUGGACAACCCCUCAGUGUAUAGGCUCGAGAGAAUCAGAAAGAGGUCCACUGCUGAGCAGCACUGUUGGGAACUUAGCGCCUCAACCAUAUGUUCCCAAGCCCCUGGGUUGGUGACUGGCAGGAGGAGAGAAGCCACUCCACCAAGCUGAAACAGCACCUGUCCCUCACGGUGGAGAGCCGAGGCAGCCCAGCAACCAGUCAAUUUUUGCAGGACCAGAAGCACCAUCAGAGGCCCUGCUUGCUGAUUCAUUUCCAUACCUCGUUGAUCUCCACCCACAGAACAAUAUGUAGAAGCAUUUUCAAACAGUUCACACCAAAUGCCCUCACUAACAUUCCAAAGCAGCUACAGAGGAAAUUAAUAGUUUCCUUCAGAGAUUUUUAUUUAUACAAAUGCAAAAACUCCUAUUUAUACCUUCCCAGAUUUGUAGACCUCCUCUUGCUGUUGUUUUUUCCUCCUGUUGCUUGGAGUAAAGAAGUGGGAAUGAUGCAAAAAUGAAACCACUUUAGUAAUACAGGAGAGUGACCGUUUGGUGACAAAUUGUGGACUAUGGUAAUGCAUUCUUGGACCCAAC